CAUGCAAACUUCUAAGUAUUUUUUUCCUUCACAUUCACAUACGUUGUGAGGCUGUGAGAGUGAUGUGGUGGCUCAUUUCCAAACUUCAGCUGAAUAAACAUUUGGCCAUUUGCUGGACAGGUUGGCGUGCAAGGGAGUUUCAGCCUUCCAAUCUAACCUCAUUGAUCCUGAGGAUAGCAACUUGCUUACAAAUUCAAAUCAAAGAUGGCUCGCUUGUGGCAUGGAGGUGGCUUAAAUGGGGCGAUUGUUUUUCAAUCUCCAGCAACAUCUGAUCAGCAUACAGCUUCCCUCUGAAGUUGAAUAGAGGUGGUGUUUGGAUUUUUAUGUGCUGUUUAUUGUGUUGACUGGAGAAGAUGGAAAGCCUCAGAUGUUUAAAGGAAGUUAACAGAGCACUGAUCUCCAGUGGCAGAGUACACUCUUCUGCCAAGUCUCCAGCUCUUCAUUUGGCUGCUGAACCUUCACAAGGUUAAAUGAACCAUCAGGCAAAAACUGAGAGAUACAGAGAGAGAAGAUCGUAUAUUGGGAGUUUAAAAAAAACAUAAAUGUCAAACAAGUUUGCCCUGUGUUAGAAAGCACAACCAAUGGUAAACCAUUGGAUACUCUAUCCCCUGCUGAGUUGCCUUUCCAGCAGUCUGAUACUGUGCCAAAGCCUCUUACAAGUUCUGAAACAAAGCUCAGGGCUACUCCCACCAUCCAUUCUGGUUUGUAUCAAACGACAAUUUCAAUGCUUGUGUAUUUGUGUUUCCCACUGUUUACAUUUACUUUUAUUUGUAAAGCCACAACAGCUUUAAAAAUAAAUGUUUGAACAUUUCUCCUAUAUGCUUCAUACAUUGCUCCGACUACUUCAGUUCCUGUUUUAAUUGUUUGAAAGUUAUGAAAUAAAAAUCAUUACAAAACUGAGGGUAUACUAUGGAAAUAACGCCCUUUAUUUUUUAUCAGUUUGGUUGAAAGGUCUGCUUUGAACAAGUUAUAAGAUAAGAAAAUAGAAAUGCUCCAGGGCAGUGUUAAACCAUGAAUAAUGAAUUAAUUCAGAAGAAUAAUCAAAUUCAUUCUUUCUGUAUCAAUUCAUGGUGAUUCAAGUUAAGGCCAAUCAAGUAUGUGAAGUAUCUCAAGCUUCAGUGGCAGCUGUUGCUAUUUCCGAGCCAUUCACUGCAACCCUGAGGGUUAAUCUUUUGAAGAAGGGAAGCAAAAUGACGCUUACCAGGAACAUCCACCACAAUCGUAUCAACAUAGCAAUAGGGUUUGCGGUAGUGACGGUGUUGUUGGAUUGUGGGGCGGGGGGGAGUGGGGUGGAUGUGUUGACUGUU